rnacentral:rRNA from 1 species
AUUGAACGCUGGCGGCAGGCCUAACACAUGCAAGUCGAACGAGUGGCGGACGGGUGAGUAAUGUCUGGGAAACUGCCUGAUGGAGGGGGAUAACUACUGGAAACGGUCGCUAAUACCGCAUACCAUCGGAUGUGCCCAGAUGGGAUUAGCUAGUCGGUGGGGUAAAGGCUCACCUAGGCGACGAUCCCUAGCUGGUCUGAGAGGAUGAACAGCCACACUGGAACAGAGACACGGGCCAGACUCCUACGGGAGGCAGCAGGGGAGAAUAGGGCACAAGGGGCGAAAGCCUGAUGCAGCCAUGCCGCGUGUAUGAAGAAGGCCUUCGGGUUGUAAAGUACUUUCAGCGGGGAGGCGUUACCCGCAGAAGAAGCACCGGCUAACUCCGUGCCAGCAGCCGCGUAUAC